rnacentral:rRNA from 1 species
CCUACGGGAGGCUGCAGUGGGGGAUAUUGCACAAUGGGGGAAACCCUGAUGCAGCGACGCCGCGUGUGGGAAGACGGUCUUCUGGAUUGUAAACCACUGUCCCCAGGGACGAAAAUGACGGUACCUGGGGAGGAAGCUCCGGCUAACUACGUGCCAGCAGCCGCGGUAAUACGUAGGGAGCAAGCGUUGUCCGGAAUUACUGGGUGUAAAGGGAGCGUAGGCGGGGAUGCAGGUUGGGUGUCAAAACUACCGGCUCAACCGAUAGUCGCACUCAAAACUGCAACUCUUGAGUGAAGUAGAGGCAGGCGGAAUGCCUGGUGUAGCGGUGAAAUGCGUAGAUAUUAGGAGGAACACCAGUGGCGAAGGCGGCCUGCUGGGCUUUUACUGACGCUGAGGCUCGAAAGUGUGGGGAGCAAACAGGAUUAGAUACCCGAGUAGUC